ensembl:snoRNA U3 Small nucleolar RNA U3
AAGACUAUACUUUCAGGAAUCACUUCUACAGUUUGUUACUAGAGAAGUUUCUGGAUAAAGAAGUUGUGUU